AGAGUUUGGAAAGGUAACUAGGCAGCUAGAGGUGCAGACAGAUACUUAAAGUAGCCCCAGCUGCCUCUAAUCUGGGCAAUUCUAUAACUAAAAAUCUUGCCCUCUGCACUCUCUGAGUCUCAGUUCUGUACCUCCAAAAGGGAGGGAUGGUGUUUGCUUUCUUCCAUCCUCUAUGGCCUCAUCAUAAAACCUCAAGUCUGGGCAGGACUGCAAGGAAAUAUAAAUACAGUGUGCUAAGACCCUUUGUAAAUCAGGUUCCAGGUGGCUCAGGUUGAGCCAUUGAUUGCCAGAGCUCCCUUGCACUAAGCCUGACUAAUGACCAGGGGCUUGAAGACAACUGAGACUGAAGUCUGCUGUGAUACUAACAGAGACGCUUCACUAGAAAGCCAUUAGGAACCAUAGUCCUCUAUUCAAGCUAUCUGCUUCUUCUCUGACUAGCAUGGUGGGCCUAAUUCUUCAUGAAAAAGGAAAAAAGGGUCUCAAGUUAGGCAUUUUUUGUUGACUGUAAGGCUUCUUUCUCUUGUCCAAGAGCCGUAGAGGAACCUUAGGGUCAAGAAGAAUUGGGCCUUUUCAUGUACGUUCAACAUUUAUUUCUGGCUGCAAACAAGACACGUGACUAUCAAAACCGACAGCUGCCACAGAAAGAAGAACAUCAGCUGGGAAAUCCGUCACCUUGGAUCAGACGACAGAGGGCAGCCCUACAUCAUUUUAUUCUGUCAUUGUAUGAUCCAUUUUUCUUUCU